UACGUAGGUGGCGAGCGUUGUCCGGAUUUACUGGGCGUAAAGAGCGCGCAGGCGGUCGUCCAAGUCGCGUGUGAAAGCCCCCGGCUCAACUGGGGAGGGUCACGCGAUACUGAUCGACUCGAAGGCAGGAGAGGGAAGUGGAAUUCCGGGUGUAGUGGUGAAAUGCGUAGAUAUCCGGAGGAACACCAGUGGCGAAGGCGACUUUCUGGCCUGUUCUUGACGCUGAGGCGCGAAAGCUAGGGGAGCAAACGGG
rnacentral:rRNA from 1 species